UACAGAGGUGGCAAGCGUUGUUCGGAAUUACUGGGCGUAAAGAGCUCGUAGGCGGUUUGUUGCGUCGGCUGUGAAAUCCCGAGGCUCAACCUCGGGUCUGCAGUCGAUACGAGCAAACUAGAGUGUUGCAGGGGAGACUGGAAUUCCUGGUGUAGCGGUGAAAUGCGCAGAUAUCAGGAGGAACACCGGUGGCGAAGGCGGGUCUCUGGGAAGUAACUGACGCUGAGAAGCGAAAGCGUGGGUAGCGAACAGG
rnacentral:rRNA from 1 species